CACGUAGGGAGCAAGCGUUGUCCGGAUUUAUUGGGCGUAAAGAGCUCGUAGGCUGUUCGAUAAGUCGGGUGUGAAACCUCCAGGCUCAACCUGGAGACGCCACCCGAUACUGUCAUGACUAGAGUCCGGUAGGGGAGCGUGGAAUUCCUGGUGUAGCGGUGAAAUGCGUAGAGAUGUGGAGGAACACCAGUGGCGAAGGCGACUCUUUGGUCUGUAACUGACGCUGAGGCGCGAAAGCGUGGGGAGCAAACAGG
rnacentral:rRNA from 1 species